AGGGAGGGAGGUGGGAGCCAGGAGAGGGAAGGAGGCGGGAGCGGGCGCGCCGGGCCGGGAGAGGCGGAGCCAGGCCGCAGCCGGCCGCUCGGAGGCGCUCCGCGGCUCGAGCGAGGUGGAGGCGGCGGCGCCGCGGGCCUCGGGGAGGGGCGGGGCGAGGCGGGGCGCCGGCUCCUCAGGCCCCGCCCUGGCCCCGCCCCCACCUGCGCCUAGAGCCGGGGCGGGAGCCGCUGGUGGGCGCUGGCGAUCCCGGCACGCGGGGCGAUGGGGUUCAGGCAGCGGGGUCUUGGGGCUGAGGAAAGGGUCGAGGUGGACCUGGAGGCCAUGGAGUUGCUUUCCCAGACGCUGCCUCAGGUUCUCCUUUGAAGAAAGUGGGGUCCUCGACGCAUAGGGUGGGGAGCUUCUCGGUAAAGACAGAGACGGGCUGCGCCACCCGGGUGCCGGGAACGGUGCGUGGCCAGGGUGGGCUUGACUCAGACUAUUGGGCCGACGAGAGGUGGGUAAGUGCCUGUGUUCUCACGCUGGGCGCCUGGAACAAACCGGUUCCGAGGCCAGGGGCGGGCGGGGCAGGGUGAGGAGCCGCCCCACUGCAGGUUGUCCCCGCCGGCCUGACCCAGGCGACUGACAUGUUCCUCUCCUCUCAGCUGAAAAGCUUUGCUAGCUCUGUCUACGCAUAAAGUAAGGUUAAACACAGAUUUUGCCCCGAAGGGCAUUAAUUAGGGACCAAUUUACAAUUCAAGUGUGAAGGCUAAUUUUAAGCUAAGUAAAACACUGACUAAGAAGUGUCGCUUUGAUAUUGAACCCUUCCACAACCACAAAUACCGAGAGCUUGCCAUGUUCUAGGCACUGAGCAAGGCGCUUGAAGAACGUAUCGUUGUUAUUUCUAUUUUACAGAAGAAGAGACUAAGGCUGCAGACUGGAAGUAGCUUGUCCAAGGUCACACAGUUCAUUGGUGGGCAGAGCCCAGGUUCCUACUUUUUCUUUUUUUAAAAAAAAGUUAUUUAUUAUUUUCAUCAUCAUUAUUUUUGUAGAGAUAGGGCCUCACUGUGUUGCCCAGGCUGAUCUCGAACUCCCGGGCUCAGGGGAUCCUCCUGCCUCAGCCUCCCAAAUUGCUGGGAUUACAGGUGUGACUGACCAUGCCCAGCCCUCAACUUUUUCAAAGAUAGGAAGGACAGUGACUCUAAUACUGUUGUCCUUCUGUAUGGGGGCAAGAGAGGGAGCUUGUUUUCAGGACCCCCUCAAAUACCAAAAUCUGAAGAUGCUCUCAAAUCCUUUAUAUAAAAUGGUGUAGUAUUUACAUAUAACCUACACACAUCUUCUCGUAUACUUUAAAUAAUUGUUCUACUGUAUUACUUUUUAUCUAUAUUUUUGUGUGUGCGUGUGUGUGUUGUUUGGGGGUUUUUUGUGUGUGUGUUUUCUGAGACAGAGUCUUGCUCAUCACCCAGGCUGGAGCGCUGUGGUGAGAUCUCUGCUUACAGCAACCUCCACCUCAAGCGAUUCUCCCACCUCAGCCUCCCGAGCAGCUGGGACCACCACGCCCAGCUAAUUUUGGCAUUUUUAGUAGAGACAGGGUUUCACCAUGUUGGCCAGGCAGAUCUCAAACUACUGGCCUCAAGUGAUCUACCCACCUCAGCCUCCCAAAGGGCUGGGAUUACAGAUGUGAGCCACCGUGCCCCACCUGUUUUUCUGUUUUGUUUUGUUUUGUUUGUUUUUAAAAUAGACUUUUCACUCUGUCAUCCAGGCUGGAGUACAGUGGUACAAUCAUAGCUCACUGUAACCUCGACCCCCUAGACUUAAGCAAUCCUCCUGUCUCAGCCUUCUAAGUAACUGGGACUACAGGCAUGCCACCACCAUGCCUGGCUAAAUUGUUUUUUCUUUCUUUUUUUUUGGAGAUGGGGUCUCAUUAUGUUGCCCAGGCUGGUCUCAAACUUCUGGUCUCAGCAGUCCUCCCACUUCAGCCUCCCAAAGUGCUGGGAUUACAGGCAUGAGCCACCACAUCCAGCUUAUUUUUUAUUGUUUUUUCCAAAUAAUUUUUUUUUUUGAGACGGAGUCUCAUUCUGUCACCCAGUGGCAUGAUUGCUGCGCACUACAACCUCCACCUCCCAGGUUCAAGCAAUUAUUCAUGCUUCAGCCUCCUGUGUAGCUGGGAUUACAGGUACCGACUAACACGCCUGGCUAAUUUUUGUGAUUUUAGUAGAGACGGGGUUUUGCCAUGUUGGCCAGGCUGGUCUUGAAUUCCUGACCUCGAGUGAUCUGCCCACCUUGGCCUCCCAAAGUGCUGUGAUUACAGGCAUAAGCCACUGUGCCCAGCCUAUUUUAUUCCAAAUUUUUUUUUAUCAGCAGUUGGUUGAAUCCAUAGCUGCAGAAACCACAGAUAUAGAGGACUGACCCUAAAUCAACAAAUAUUUAUUGGGCACUUACUAUGGAUUAAGCAAUAUACUAAGAACUUGAGAUAGACAAUGGUGCUAGACGGUGGUGACAUUGAGUGGUUGGAUGUAGACUCUUGCCUCUGCUUUCUCCCAAAAUCCCAGUGAAAUGACAGUUACAGGGAUUUUUUUGAGGGGGUGGGGUUGGGCAUUAAACUGUUGGGAUAAAGAAUGGCAAAGGAGGCAGGGCACCAUGGUGCAUGCCUGUAAUCCUAGCACUUUGGGAGGCUGAGGUGGCAGUUCACUUGAGGUCAAGAGUUCA
rnacentral:lncRNA from 1 species